rfam:Schistosoma mattheei strain Denwood, Zambia genome assembly, scaffold: SMTD_scaffold0014958
AUCCAGCUGACGUGUCCCAAGUAGGACGAAACGCGCGUCAAAUCGGAU